rnacentral:rRNA from 1 species
GGUAAAUCCGUGCGAGCAGCCGGGGUAAUACGGAGGGGGCAAGCGUCAAUCGGAAUUACUGGGCGUAAAGCGCACGCAGGCGGUCUGUCAAGUCGGAUGUGAAAUCCCCGGGCUCAACCUGGGAACUGCAUUCGAAACUGGCAGGCUAGAGUCUUGUAGAGGGGGGUAGAAUUCCAGGUGUAGCGGUGAAAUGCGUAGAGAUCUGGAGGAAUACCGGUGGCGAAGGCGGCCCCCUGGACAAAGACUGACGCUCAGGUGCGAAAGCGUGGGGAGCAAACAGGAUUAGAUACCCUGGUAGUC